UACGGAGGAUCCGAGCGUUAUCCGGAUUUAUUGGGUUUAAAGGGUGCUCAGGCGGGCCAUUAAGUCGGCGGUGAAAUUUUGCGGCUCAACCGUAAAAGUGCCAUCGAUACUGGUGGUCUUGAGUGUGGAUGAGGUAGGCGGAAUUUGUGGUGUAGCGGUGAAAUGCAUAGAUAUCACGAGGAACUCCGAUUGCUAAGGCAGCUUACUAAACUACUACUGACGCUCAGGCACGAAGGCGUGGGGAUCAAACAGGAUUAGAUACCCUGGUA
rnacentral:rRNA from 1 species